GGUCAAGGAUUUGGAAGUGGAGCUUGAAACUACUAAACAAAAAAGCAAAGAAAACAUUGAGCAGGCGAUUUUGAUUGAACAAGAAAGAGUAACCCAAAUGCAGUGGGACAUGGAAGAACUUAGACGAAAGUCAAUGGAAAUGGAAUUAAAGUUGAAUUCUCAACAGGUUCUGUAUCUUGGAGGUGUUGGCUGGUUAGAUAUAUUGUACCUCAAUCAACAAUAAUUUUAACUUACACUGUCUGUCAUACCUUUCCAGAAUCAAAAAAUGGAUACAGAGGUGAAAGUCUCAAGCAGUAAUGAGAAAAAUAUACUUCAGGAGUUGGAUCUCAAAAGACAGCAACUUGAGGAUUUAUCGAAGCGACAGCAAGAGGUAGAAGUGAAGUCAAAAGCUGACAUCAGAGUUCUUGUUAAAGAGGUUAAAUCCCUCAGAAGUACCCAAGCAGAAAUUAAAAUGCAGCUUAAGGAAUCACUUCAAGAAAAAUCUGAGAUUGAGGUAUUGUUGAAGAUGAAAAGGCAUGUGUUUUCAUGCCAUUGCUUGCUUAUACAAGGAAUUGGUUAUUUCUAGUUUCUUUUCCUACUAAUGAUAUUGUUCAUGGGGGUCAUAGUCUAAUUUUUUGUUGCAGAAAUACUUUAACUGACUUGAUAGCUUCAGUUUAAGAAAGUCCUCAAUAGAUCAGGUCACAUUGUUUAUGCGUUUUUAUAUUAUAAGCAUGCUAUCUAAGUUGUUGCCUAGACCUACAUGGUGAUCCAUGAGCUGAAACAAAAAUUAAGUAAAACUUUUAAGACAAUUUGACUGCUAUUUUAUGAUAUAUGAUUGAUUCGUCAAUAUAAAGUGGCUCAUGAAAACUUAUGCAAAUAUAUUAAGACCCAAACUUUUGUUUGGCAUUCCAGAUGCUCUUGCAAGAAGAAAAACAUAAAAAUGAGCACAUGUAUGCUGCAUGGAGGAAUUUUUUGGAGAAAUGUGAGACUCUUUUCAAUCAACUCCAAGAGUGCAAGGUUGAUAUAUUGAAAGAAGAUGAAAAGAAUGACCUCAUGGAAUUUCCUUUGCCAACACAUGCAUUUGAUGACAUUGCAAAGUCUGAUGAUCAAAUCAAUGUUCUUCUUGCUGAGGU
rnacentral:lncRNA from 1 species